UACGUAGGUGGCGAGCGUUGUCCGGAAUCAUUGGGCGUAAAGGGAGCGCAGGCGGGCAUGUAAGUCUUUCUUAAAAGUUCGGGGCUCAACCCCGUGAUGGGAAAGAAACUACAUGUCUUGAGUACAGGAGAGGAAAGCGGAAUUCCCAGUGUAGCGGUGAAAUGCGUAGAUAUUGGGAGGAACACCAGUGGCGAAGGCGGCUUUCUGGACUGCAACUGACGCUGAGGCUCGAAAGCCAGGGGAGCGAACGGG
rnacentral:rRNA from 3 species